rnacentral:lncRNA from 1 species
GGGAGGCUAGAUGCGCAUGAGCCCAGCUGCCUGGCCUCAUCCUGGAGCUGAAGUUACAGGUGAGUGUGAGCCACCCAAUAUGGGCGCUGGGAAUUGCAAGAGCAGGAUAGGCUCCACUCCUUUUCUCAAGACAGUGUCUCUGUACAUAGUCCUGACUAGAACUCAGCAUCAGACUGGCCUUGAACUCACAGCGAUCUUCCUGCCUCUGUCUCCUGAGUGCUGGGGUCAAAGGUUGCUGUGCUUCAGUACAAGCGCAUAAAGGCUGAAUCAUAUCAUUAGCCCAUCGUUGCUUUUCCUCAUUUGUUUGCACUUGUUAAUGACUAACGUAAUUCUGUCUGCCUGUCUGCCUGUCUGCCUGUUUAUAUCUAUCUAUCUAUCUAUCUAUCUAUCUAUCUAUCUAUCUAUCUACCUACCUACCUACCUACCUACCUACCUAUCCUGGAACUCUAGAGCAGGCUGGCCUUGAACUCAGAGAUCCACCUGCCCAGGGGACUCUAGAAUAAUUUUUUAGAUGGAAAUACAGAUAAAAGGUAUUGUAGCAAAAGCACUCUUUGUUUUUGUUGUUUGAAGACUGCAUCUCUGUCUGUAGCUCAGCCUGCUGUCCUCGCUGGCUGUGUAGGUGAGCGCACCUUGAACUUGUGAUCCCCUUGCCUGUGACUCAUUACAGGUGUGUGCAGCCACACCUGCUUUUAUUGGUGCUGAGAGUGAGCCAAGGGCGGGUUGCAUGCCGGGAAAGUAUCACUGUGUUAUUCUCCACUUUAACUUCCUUUUCUGUGGCAGAGUUUGUGUAAUCUGUUGCUUUAAACUUGCCAUGCAGCCAAGGAUGACCUUGAACCCCUGACCUGCUUCUACUCCCCCAGGUGUUGAGUGGAGCGUGUUUCUCGAAAUUCAGCUAAACUUAAAUAUUAGGAAAUGCUUUUCCCUCUUGGCUCUGUAAAUUUGUGGUGAAUCAUGAUGGAUCGAGAUAGAUAGUUCUAUCAUACUGAAAAUCUUUGUUACUCUUAGCAGCUUUUGAGAAGUAGGGCAUCUGAAAUGCUACCUGCUCUUUCAACCUGUGUUUCUCUGGCAGUGUGAUUCUCAUGUCUGUCUGGAGGGUCCUGUAACUAGCCAUGAAACCGCCCCUGGUGGCCAAGGGCACCCCAUAUUACUGUUUGAGUGUUCAUUGUUCUUUUAUUUUGACAGGUUUAUCAUCUUCACUCUGACAGCUACGAGACACAAAACCAGCACUAUGGAAGAGGCCUAACGAAAGAGACCCUGAAGGAAGGUGAGCCCUGGAGCGGGGCUGCUGCUGCAGUCAGCAAGAUGGCACUCACCAGAUUUAGUUCUCCUUUGGAAUAACCAGACAACUCAGAACCUUUUACAUUAGGAAUGUAGAGAGAGAAAAGUGUGUUUACCAUGGUAAAGUGUGGGUUGUGAGCACCCCUCCUCCUUUUACAUACUCACUAGUUUCUUCUAAUCCAGUUGCUGGCCCACUUGCUUCCUACUGCUGCGAUAAAUCCCCGAGACAACCCACCAUGAAGGAGCUUUUGUUCGGUUCAGAUUCAGGUGUAUCUGGUAGCUCCUUUGCUUUGGACACAACAAGGGAGCAGCCAUGGGGAGUAAAUACGUCCUGUUCCUGGGUGACCCGGACGCAGGGAGGCCCAGGCCCUUCAUGACCCCUGCUUCUCAGAAUCCUACAACUGCCUCAACCCGUAUUCAGCCAGGGGUCCCAGGGCACCGUCUCAGAGCUGUUCUGGAGCAGUGUGCAUGCACUCUUGUAUGUAUGGAAUGCUGAACACCGCUGUCCAGCUCAGUACCAAAGCUUUAAGUUCACACUCUGCUGGCCUGGUGGCACACACCUGAAAUCCCAGCACAUGUGGGGUUAAAUUAUAAAUCAAUAAAAUGUAUUAAGUAUAAAUUGUAUGUAAAGCUGCUCCUGUGUGGUUGGGUGAUAGUCAAGCUUCUAAAGUGCCUGAUGAAUAGGCAGGUGGCAGGCAGGUGGCAAUUUGCUUAAUAUCGCUUUGGUAAAAGUCUGGUGACCUAGACAUUAUAACAGGGCAUUUUGUCUUUGAACAAUAACCUUAUAUUAGGUUAUUUUCAGCUCUAUGAGAAGUUGGCCUGUAGAGUUCCCAGGAGGGCGCUGGUGUUAUAUACAGAAAACACAUCUGCUUCUAGCUUUGUGCUUAGUUCCUGUCUUGGCAUACUUGAUCAAAGCAAGCUAGUACUUAAUUUGACUAUUAAAAAAUAUGGAGAGCCCCCCUCCCCCUGGCUGUAGUUUCCUGGAAUGAUUUAAUUUCUUUAUUCUUCUUUCUUUUUUUUUUAAUUGAAAAUAGAUUUUUUUAAUACAAUAUAUUCUGAUUAUACUUUCCUCUCCCCCAAUUCCUGCCUGGUCCUUUUCAUUUUCCCAUACACAGUUAGUUUGUUUGUUUGUUUGUUUGUUUGUUUCUUUCUUUCUUUCUUUUUUCCUUCCUUCCUUCCUUCCUUCCUUCCUUCCUUCCUUCCUUCCUUCCUUCGUUUCUCUCUUUCUUUCCCUCUCACUGGACUAUAAAUAUCUAUCUAUCUAUCUAUCUAUCUAGAUAUAGAUACACAUAUAUACACACAUAUAUAUAUAGUGGUGGGACACAGCUUUAAUCCUAGCAGGCGCAUUUCUGUGAGUUAAAGGCCACCCUGGUCUACAAAGAGAGUUCCAGGACAUCCAGGGCAACACAGAGAAACCCUGUCUUGAACCAAACCAAACUAAACCAAACCAACCAACCAACCAAACAAACAAACAAAAAACCCCAAAGAACUGGGGGCUGCAAAGAUGGCUCAGCAGUUAAGAACACUGACUGCUCUUCCAGACGAUCUGAGUUCAAUUUCCAGCAGCUACAUGGUAGCUCACGACCAUCUGUAAUGGGAUCCGAUGCACUCUUCUGGUAUGUCUGAAGACAGUGACAGUGUACUCAUAUACAUUAAAAAAAAAAAUCUUAAAAAGAAAAAAAAGCCCAACCACCACCACCAACAAC